UCCUUGGUGAGCGACGGACCUCGUGGGC
rnacentral:sRNA from 1 species